GUCCCUGUAGCACAAUGGAGAGUGAGUUGGACUGCUAUUUCAAAAGUCGUGGGUUCGAAUCCCACCUGGGAUG
rnacentral:tRNA from 1 species